AAGAGGACCACAUAGUUUACUCGAGUGUCAGUAAACCGUUCCCCUAAAGAAUACGUUUAGAUGUUUCAGAUUAAUAAUCAGAAAGAGCUUUAUUGCCAAUUGUGCUUGGACACACGAGGACUUUGUCUUAGUGACAGAAGCUUCCAGUGCACACACAGGUUAAAAAAGUGACAAAUCACAGGGCUCUGCCAGUGAUUCGCUCGGCAGUCCUUAUCUUGUGUAGUCUUCGGAGGUCUGUUUUUGCAACUGAGCCGAACCAGACAAUAAUGGAUUCAAUGACAGCAGCUCCUGUGGCAGGUUGAACCUCUUCAGCUGGCGAAAGAAGAACAGCCUCUGCUAGAUGUGAAGUCGUUGGUGUACAUGGAGAAGAGCAGUGUGGAGAGCACACAUCCCUGGGGGGCACAUUGUUAAUGUCUUUUAAGUUAUUGAUGUAUCCUGCUCUAGUUGUGUUUAAGUUGUGUUUAAGAAAGAUUAAAACCUUUGUGUUCACCUA